UCUCUUCUUUCUUCUUACUUUCGUUCUCUUUCUCAGUCUUCUCUUCUCUCUUUUCCAUGAAACCCUAAAACUGCCGCUGAAUCACCUUUCUUUUCGCUCUCUCUUCCAUCUCUUUCCAUUUUCUGUUCUACCUCUUCUCCGAGAAUUUUUUCGGUCUACCACUGUUUCUCUUUCUCCGGCCUCCGCAACUUAAAACCCUAAAACCAAUAUAGAUUCGAACUACCCACCAAGUUUCCAUUUUACUAUUUCAUUUGAAGGAUCUGAAAACAAAACUUGCUCUUCUCUGUGUCGCUAAGAUUGCUCAUGACAGAAAUUCAUAUUAGAAACAGUAAGCACAAGAAGAUCUUGCCGAGAUUGAUGAAGGUAAACUAGGCUCUUAGUUAGAAACAACAAACAAAGGCAGAUCUUUAUUAUAGUUUAGUCGAUGUGGCUAAUCAGGUUUUUUUCCUAUUAUCGUUCUCAUUUGUUGUUGUGUUUCUGUUAGAAACUACAAAAUGAUUUAAUCACUUUCUUUCCAUUUAAUCACCAUCAAGGAGAUUAUAGUAUUCCAGGGACAUCAACAAGUAAAAUAUUUACAACAGUUAAUGUUGUUACUAACUUUGAUUUUCCCAAGAACUCAUACACUUAUUUGCACAGGGUUGGUCGUUCAGGAAGAUUUGGCCACUUUGGUUUAGUGGUUAACUUGAUCACUUACGAGGACUGCUUUAAUUUAUUUAGGAUUGAACAAGAAAUUGGCACUAAAAUAAAUGAAAUUCCGCCACACAUUGAUCAAGAAUUUUAUGAUCGGAACAUGUAACCCGUAUUUACAAGAGUUGUUUUUACAAGUUAGAUGAGUAGCUAGCUAUGGGGAAAUGCUAUGAGAGAUGCAAUUUCUAAAGUUUACACACAAAUAUUAAACUAUAUUCCAACAAAGCAACAACUAUAUUGGAAACUCAGUGAAGAUGGUAACAAUAUUUUUGUUAUUGCUACAUAGUCUGCAACAAAGCUCCUGGUGGAAAUUUAUAUAUCGACAUCCCCGCCUCUACUCCGAUAUAAAGGAUAUGAUGUCGUUCAUGGAGACAAUACCAUCAUUUAUUCUUCCGUAGACAUUUGAGUUUAAUUAUUAUUCUAUGAUUUUAGGUUUAAUUUUUUAAUUCACCAACUUCUACAUUUUUAUGUUAUUUUUCCCCGUCACAUGGAAUUUUGAUGGUUAAUCCAACCGUUCUUAAAUCCAAGAGUGAUGGUUAUGCUUAUGAUUUGUUUCUUCUGUUGCAUUAACAUUGGCAGGGUGAGAGCUGGAGUCUAAAAAGAAUUUCAGAGUUUGGUUAUUUAAGAGCACAUGCUACUAAAGUUGAUUUAAACUUGGAGGAAAUGAUUGAAUGUUAUAGGAAAGAAAAAGAAGCCAGAAGUGCAGCUGAGCAGAAGGCCAUUGCAACUGAGGACCUGUACAAGCCAUCAGGCCUAUCAUUUAUGGUGUCUAUUGUCUGUCGAUAACCCGAAGUGUUUUAAAUUUAAGUGAAGUGAAGUUCCUGUUGUGAACAAAUAGAUAUGUUGCAGCAACUGAAAAAGAGAAGUUAAAGGGUGGAGUUUGAUCUCUAUCUGUAGCUAAUUGUAGGCCAUAACAAAAUGACUGUAAAUAUGCUGCACGAGCUACACUAAGCAAUAAAAUCUGGAGGUACACACACUGUUUGGAGUCUCUCAAGCAUCAAUGAAGAAUAAUCUUUGUUGUUGGUGAUUUCAAUAUUGCACCAUUUGCGAAUUUAUCGGUGUGGUGCAGAACCUCAUUUUGAGAAUAAUGAGUUUAGAAGAUGAUUCAAAUCAAUGUUAAUUGGAAAUGGAGACAAUUUUUCUUAUGUAUUCCGAGCAAAACAUGCGGAUCAUACCUCAUAAACAUGUGUGAAUUUGUUUUAAGAGCUGUGGCCAUUAAGGACUAAGAAGCAUCUAAGAACAUAUCUCAUAAACAUUUGUGAAUUUUAAUAGUAAUUAUAAUUCUGUCUUAAUCUAAUAUUGUUUCUGUUUUUUUUUUUCCAACUCAAAUGUCUGUGCGUGCUGGAGGUACAAAGUUUCAAGGAGACAUGAGGUUAUUUAAGAGAUAUAAGUAACCACUUGAGUUCCAUUUGUUUUUUAAUUCCAAAUUAUCAUUAGAACAAAUGAUGAUUUAGAAGAAGAUAAAAAUAGAAUAAGCUAGAAUGUAACCUCGGUUCUAUAAUUCUAUUGUAUUAUUAGCUAUAUGACUAUUUUUUCAUAUAGAAAAUUAGCUAUGAAACUCUUUUCUUACACGUGGGCACACUUUC